AAACCAACAGGGAUUGCCUUAGUAACGGCGAGUGAAGCGGCAAAAGCUCAAAUUUGAAAUCUGGCACCUUCGGUGUCCGAGUUGUAAUUUGAAGAAGGAAGGUUUAUGGGUCUUGUCUAUGUUCCUUGGAAUAGGACGUCACAGAGGGUGAGAAUCCCGUGCGAUGAGAUUCCGUAUUGUAAUCUUCCUUCGAAGAGUCGAGUUGUUUGGGAAUGCAGCUCUAAGUGGGUGGUAAAUUCCAUCUAAAGCUAAAUAUUGGCGAGAGACCGAUAGCGAACAAGUACAGUGAUGGAAAGAUGAAAAGAACUUUGAAAAGAGAGUGAAAAAGUACGUGAAAUUGUUGAAAGGGAAGGAUUUGAGAUCAGACUUGGUAUUUUGCAACCUUACUCUCGUGGUGGGGCCCCUGCAGUUUACUGGGCCAGCAUCAGUUUGGAUGAUGGGAUAAGGACAUUGGAAUGUGACUCUGCCUCGGUGGAGUGUUAUAGCCUUUGUUGAUACCGUCUAUCUAGACUGAGGACUGCGUCUUUGACUAGGAUGUUGGCAUAAUGAUCUUAAAUCAC
rnacentral:rRNA from 1 species